AGAGUUUGAUCCUGGCUCAGGAUGAACGCUGGCGGCGUGCUUAACACAUGCAAGUCGAACGAUGAAGCUGGAGCUUGCUCCGGUGGAUUAGUGGCGAACGGGUGAGUAACACGUGAGCAAUCUGCCCUUGACUCUGGGAUAACUGCGGGAAACUGUAGCUAAUACCGGAUACGACGCCUUGGGGCAUCCCACGGGCGUGGAAAGAAUUUCGGUCAAGGAUGAGCUCGCGGCCUAUCAGCUAGUUGGUGAGGUAAUGGCUCACCAAGGCGACGACGGGUAGCCGGCCUGAGAGGGUGACCGGCCACACUGGGACUGAGACACGGCCCAGACUCCUACGGGAGGCAGCAGUGGGGAAUAUUGCGCAAUGGGCGAAAGCCUGACGCAGCAACGCCGCGUGAGGGAUGAAGGCCUUCGGGUUGUAAACCUCUUUUAUCAGGGAAGAAGCGAAAGUGACGGUACCUGAAGAAAAAGCACCGGCUAACUACGUGCCAGCAGCCGCGGUAAUACGUAGGGUGCAAGCGUUAUCCGGAAUUAUUGGGCGUAAAGAGCUCGUAGGCGGUUUGUCGCGUCUGCUGUGAAGAUCUGAGGCUCAACCUCGGACUUGCAGUGGGUACGGGCAGACUAGAGUGCGNNNNNNNGNNNNNGGAAUUC
rnacentral:rRNA from 1 species